rnacentral:rRNA from 1 species
AUUGAACGCUGGCGGCAGGCCUAACACAUGCAAGUCGAACGGUAACAGGAAGAAGCUUGCUUCUUUGCUGACGAGUGGCGGACGGGUGAGUAAUGUCUGGGAAACUGCCUGAUGGAGGGGGAUAACUACUGGAAACGGUAGCUAAUACCGCAUAACGUCGCAAGACCAAAGAGGGGGACCUUCGGGCCUCUUGCCAUCGGAUUUGCCCAGAUGGGAUUAGCUAGUAGGUGGGGUAACGGCUCACCUAGGCGACGAUCCCUAGCUGGUCUGAGAGGAUGACCAGCCACACUGGAACUGAGACACGGUCCAGACUCCUACGGGAGGCAGCAGUAGGGAAUAUUGCACAAUGGGCGAAAGCCUGACGCAGCCAUGCCGCGUGUAUGAAGAAGGUCUUCGGAUUGUAAAGUACUUUCAGCGGGGAGGAAGGGAGUAAAGUUAAUACCUUUACUUAUUGACGUUACCCGCAGAGGAAGCACCGGCUAACUCCGUG